GACAACAGUUGAAGAUGUGCAUUAAAACCUCUUUAUUACUACUUCUGUCUCUGUUGUUCUGUGCUGCAGUCUCCGAAGGAACGCAGGACUUUGCUGUGAACGUCAACAAUGACGGCACCUACAACGUCGUUGUGAAGGGAGAUGUGUGGCUGAAGAGCGCUCCUACCUUCUUCAGAGCUGAUGGUCAAGUGUUCUCCUCUGCUGAUCUAUCUCUGAAGCUGGUCAAGAUUACUCAGUCCAGUGGUGUGGACGUCAUCGGGCAGUGGGAGGCCAACAGCUUCUUGUACCAGGCAGGGUCCAGUCAGAUCGAGGCCAGCUUUGUACAGUACACACCAGAUCCAAGCAUAUUCACCUACAACAAUCCGGCUGUACCGUUCAUAUUGUUCAAACAGCGUUACAUCAAUGGAGCAAACAACACCGCCUCCAACAAGACUGACUUCACCAUUUCUGGCUUUCCUGGAUUUCUAAUUCAAGAUUCAUCCAUUCCGCUGGGAUACCUUAGUUAUGGAGGAUCUCAGGGUGGUAGCAUUGGUCUCAAUGUUGGGCAAUGGGGACCAUCAUCGUUUGAAAUCGACGAUGGGAUUGAAGGUGGACCCCUGACGUUAUUUGAUCGCGUUAAGACUGCAAAUACACUGAUUAUCUCCCCUGCCAGUCGAUUUAUGUCGUCAUCAAUAUGGCGUCAGAGGUCCAGCACCGGCGGGGACAAUGUCUAUUGGGGGACGAUGGGAGGAGUUGAAGAUGUCCCUGUUGGCGUUGAAACUAGUUUUAUUCUUUUCUGUGGUAACCAAGGCAUUAACAAGGCCUCUGUAAGCUGGGGUCAGAUCUUACAGCGGUGGCAUGGCCGUACAGAUCAAUAUAUGAAGUCCGACUUUACCAUAAACUACUUAGGGUACUGGACGGACAAUGGUGCGUAUUACUACUACCGGACGGAGAAAGGAAAGAACCACCAGGACACAAUGUUGGAUAUCAAGAGCUACAUGGGGCAGAUAGGGGUACCCGUCAGGUACAUUCAGUAUGACGCAUGGUGGUACUACUGGGACAAUGAUCAUGGUGUUGUGACGUGGUCGGCGCAGCCCAAAAUCUUUCCAAAUGGAAUGCAGUGGCUUUAUAACAAGACACAGUAUCCCGUCGUGGCCCACAGCAUGUACUGGUCCAGCAAUACAACCUACGCAACUGCAAAUGGAGGAAAGUAUGAAUUCGUCAUCGAUGGUCCAAAGGCAUUGCCACUGGAAGAGAGAUUCUGGACUGAUUUGCUCGCCGAUGCAAGAAAAUGGGGUCUGUUUGUUUACGAACAGGAUUAUCUUCGUAAUGAAUUUGAAGGGAUCAAUAAGCUUCUGACUGACAUUGACCUUGGCCGCCAAUGGUUGACUCAGAUGGGCAAUGGAGCUGCCAAGAACGGACUGACCAUCCAGUACUGCAUGUCAUUCCCACGACAUUUGCUACAGUCUCUGGAAAUACCUGUUGUCACACAGUCUCGGGUAAGCCAUGACAACCGACCGAACACGGACAACUGGAAGAUAGGCGUUUCAUCGAUAUUUGCUUUGUCUCUGGGCGUUGUUCCCUACAAGGAUAAUUUUUGGACAACCAGCGUUCAACCCGGAAAUCGCUACAAUUUAUCGGAACCCCACACAUCACUUAAUGCUGUGGUUGCAACGUUAAGUACAGGCCCAGUGGGGAUUAGUGACAUGAUUGGAGGCACGAACAAGACACUCAUCAUGAAAUCUGUAAAUGCUGACGGCCUGAUCUUAAAACCAUCUCGACCGGCGACUGCAAUUGACAACAGAAUACGGAGGAUGGCCUGGUCAGACUUUGAGGGUCCUGAUGGGGAGGUAUGGUCCACGUAUUCAGAUUUUGGUGGAAAGAACAAGUACGGUAUCAUCCUCGCUGCUGAUCUUCAGGGAAGCUACAACAUGACACCUUGCAUGGCUGGAUAUCAAGGGUUUCCCAGUUCCAUGGUCUUCCCAGCCAAGGAUUCCAACAAGAUCCAGCCCUUGACAGACCCCCAGCCUUUGACAAUGAGUGGUUGUACCAUGACUGACUUCUGUCUCUUCUAUGUAUCACCGGUACUGACCGUCAAUGGCAAACAAGUUCUCAUCCAGGGUGAGUUAGACAAGUGGGUGCCCAUGUCACCCCAGAGAGUCACGGAUAUCAACAUUGCCGACGACAUCACCAUCAACCUCACUGGAGCAGCCCACGAAACUGUCUCCUUUUGGUUCAACGUGGAUGGUAAAUCCUCACCUGUGACCUGUACCCUCGGAGCAGCAGGACUGGCCACCCUCAGUUUCACAGCAGGCACAUGUCGCGGUGUAUAAAAACAUAUACAUGCAUGCCUAUUUUAAAUACAUACUUUAAAUGUUUAGCUUCAUAUUGAAUAAACGCUAUUCAUAUCGCUAACGCGCAAAUGCGCAAAUCCGGUCAUUCAUUUCACCAACGUAUUUCCUUUCUUUUGAAUGAAAGUCCAGCUAUUUAUCCUGUGAUUUAUAAUGAAUAUGUGUACAGGCCUCUGUUAAUAACUGCUCCUGUCCAGUAUUUUCCAUUUCAUAAUGAUGUUGUUGCUUCUUGAAAAAAAGUAAACAAAGGAUAUUUGAA
rnacentral:misc_RNA from 1 species